GUCCGUUCCGUUGGAGCCUUCGGCUCAGUCAAGAAGUUGAAAGAUGCCUCUGCAAAGACUACUCCCCCAUCAGUCAGCCACGCCUUCCCACAUCAGUCAACGGACGCAUGUAGUGGGCACGUGCCCGUAGUGGGCACGGGGCGUUAGGCAAUCUGGUGCACCGAAGUGCUCCGUUAUGACGGUGAGGAGGUUCUGUGUGGAGCACAACCUGCGAAGAAGAAAUCUAGUUUCCGACACGGAUUUGGAAAUGGCAGUGGUUUCUUCCAUCAACAAGACGGGACCGACCUAUGGUCGAACAUUUAUGACGGGAUACCUAUCAUCGAUCGGUGUGCAUGCUGGGGAAAGCAGUUGGGAGAGUCUAACGAGACGUUCAUCAGCCAUACCACGAUUUGCGAAGACAUGCAAGUAACUUAGAGGUGCUCGUAAUCUGAACCCCAUUCCCUACCAUGCAGAAUAUAUGGGCCAUAAACUGCAUAUGGAUCAAAAUGAGAAGCUCGGCAUGUUCGGUGUCACAUAGGCCUAUGAGGUGGCAGUUGACGGCAACAGCAGCAAAAUUGUUGCAAAUGCCACCAUGCCUGUGAAAAAAAAUCUGAUUAUUUAUGAGCCGGUAUACAGAUGUGCAGUGGUUGCCAAUGGGAUGUGGGACCAAGUCAGAGUUGACCAUGGGAAGGAGUUCUAUCUGUGCCUGUACAUCCAGGAAAUCCUUUCCAGGCAAAGGUAUAACCUCAGCAGGCAACCAUACUUGCAGACUACAUCUUCAAGGAAUCUUAGGGUGGAGCGGAUUUGGCCUGAAGUCAAUAACCGGGUAAACUAACCACUGAAGCAGGCCCUGGUGCACCUGACUGACCAAGAGGCCAUAGACAUGCAGGACAACACAGUGAAGUUCUGUGUGUCUAACCUGACGUGCCAACUCAGCCAGAUUGGGCUAGACAGGGUUGUGCAGUCAUGGAAUGCACAUAGGAUUCCAGGUAGAGGAAUACCUAAUGAACUAGCUGCAGCAGGAUGCCCAGCACAGAUAUCGGAGGACCUGCUACCCAGUGCUUCUGUUGCUGCUGACAGAUAUGAGCAGGAGUUUGGAAGCUCUCUCAGCAGGGAGGCAGCCUUUGGCGUGGACCCCUUUCACACUGAGGCAGACAGGAGCCGGGCACAAAGGGACUUUGCGGUGACCUACCCUGAUCCCUCUGUCAUUUUUGACAAUGUGGUCAACAAUGACCAUAGUGCAUUUCAUGAAGCCCUUUUCUGCCUGCUGAAUGCCCCGGAGAGGAAUGUGUGAAAUGCUUUGAUGGAUGUGUGACUGCCUGUGUAUAUUGUUAAGUGUUAAGUGUGAUUAACUGUAAAUGUUCUUAAUGAUGCUGUUAAUAAUGUAUGUGUUUAUCUGCCGUUUUCACAGUGGAGUUUGAAGAAAAGACUUCAAUAAAACCU
ensembl:lncRNA